rnacentral:rRNA from 1 species
GAUGAACGCUGGCGGCGUGCCUAAUACAUGCAAGUCGAGCGAACGGACGAGAAGCUUGCUUUUCUGAUGUUAGCGGCGGACGGGCGAGUAACACGUGGAUAACCUACCUAUAAGACUGGGAUAACUUCGGGAAACCGGAGCUAAUACCGGAUAAUAUUUUGAACCGCAUGGUUCAAAAGUGAAAGACGGUCUUGCUGUCACUUAUAGAUGGAUCCGCGCUGCAUUAGCUAGUUGGUAAGGUAACGGCUUACCAAGGCAACGAUGCAUAGCCGACCUGAGAGGGUGAUCGGCCACACUGGAACUGAGACACGGUCCAGACUCCUACGGGAGGCAGCAGUAGGGAAUCUUCUGCAAUGGGCGAAAGCCUGACGGAGCAACGCCGCGUGAGUGAUGAAGGUCUUCGGAUCGUAAAACUCUGUUAUUAGGGAAGAACAUAUGUGUAAGUAACUGUGCACAUCUUGACGGUACCUAAUCAGAAAGCCGCGGCUAACUACGUG